rnacentral:rRNA from 1 species
GACGAACGCUGGCGACGUGCUUAACACAUGCAAGUCGAGCGGUAAGGCCCUUUCGGGGGUACACGAGCGGCGAACGGGUGAGUAACACGUGGGUGACCUGCCCUCAGCUCUGGGAUAAGCCUGGGAAACCGGGUCUAAUACUGGAUAUGACUCCAUGACGCAUGUUGUGGGGUGGAAAGCCUUGUGCGGCUGAGGAUGGGCCCGCGGCCUAUCAGCUUGUUGGUGGGGUGANGGCCUACCAAGGCGACGACGGGUAGCCGGCCUGAGAGGGCGACCGGCCACACUGGGACUGAGACACGGCCCAGACUCCUACGGGAGGCAGCAGUGGGGAAUCUUGCGCAAUGGGCGAAGGCCUGACGCAGCGACGCCGCGUGAGGGAUGACGGCCU